CAUGGUGAAGAUAGCUGGCUCGAGAGGGUCCUACUGAGCUCAAGGCUGGACCAGGAGACUUUACCCCACCAGGAUGUAUAGUCAUGUAAUGAUUUGGGCAUUGCUUUAAUUUCCUCAAAAUAAGAAAUUCUGUGGUAGGACUGAUUUAAGUUCACUUUGUCUGCAGUCUUGGAUAUUUAGAUGUGAGCCUUUACCCACGUUUUCUAUGCUGAGACUGCCUUCUCGUACAACCUUCACAUCUCCUCCCCCCCUUGGUCACCAAAGCUGAGGAAAGGUGGUGCACAGCAGAAGACCCACACAUCAUCUGGCGAUGCUUCUCCCUUAGUUCCUUAGUCCUGAGGGUAACCAAGAGGUGACAGGGAUGGACAGCCUCUCCCUGAGCCAGGCAUCUCCCUGGCAGGACCUCAGCAAUGACACUGUUGUACUGGGGGAACCAAAUGAAAAAGGCCUCACACAUGGUCCCCUAAACCCUGGAAAGAGAGAUGGGGUCUCCCACCCACUGCAGGGGAGACCAAAGUGAUGGUGCUGGAGGAAUCCCAGCCCCAUUCUCCUUCUCUGCUGUCUUCUGGGUGCUCACCAGGAAGGACUUGUCCCCCAUCACUGCCCAUUUUGCAUUACUCUCUUCCAUUUAACAACAUCUAGGGCAGGGAAGGAGCAGCCCUACACCUUCAAACAACCAAAACACAAUCUGUUACAGCUGGGCAACUCCAGCCAUCUCUGGUGCAUGAGCGCUGGGGAAGCAGUGAUGUACGUAAAGCACAGCAGCUUCAGGAUUGCCUUCAGAAUUGCUUUGACACAGCCAGCCAUUGGUUUUCACUCAGAUCCGUGCAUCAUUAGAGAAAAAAAUACAUCAGAUUUACCCAUUUACAUAUGCAUAAAGAUGAGAAAGUGGGAACAAGAAACAAACUGACACUCUUCUGGCAGCAAACUGAGUUGAAUGUGUGUGUAAAUCCAGGGAGGGAAGGUGGGUUCUGAGUUAGGGCAUUGCUUCUUGUGCCGAGAAUGCAGAUCCCUGUCCAAGUAGGAAAAAAAUAAUAAAAAU